rnacentral:rRNA from 1 species
AGGACGAACGCUGGCGGCGUGCUUAACACAUGCAAGUCGUACGAUGAUGCCGCAACUUGUUGUGGUGGAUUAGUGGCGAACGGGUGAGUAACACGUGAGUAACCUGCCUUUCACUCUGGGAUAAGCCUUGGAAACGAGGUCUAAUACUGGAUAUGACUCCUUGCCGCAUGGUGGGGGGUGGAAAGCCUUCGGGUGGUGGAUGAUGGACUCGCGUACUAUCAGCUUGUUGGUGGGGUUGUGGCUCACCAAGGCUUUGACGGUUAGCCGGCCUGAGAGGGUGAUCGGCCACAUUGGGACUGAGAUACGGCCUAGACUCCUACGGGAGGCAGCAGUGGGGAAUAUUGCACAAUGGGCGAAAGCCUGAUGCAGCGACGCCGCGUGGGGGAUGAAGGCCUUCGGGUUGUAACUCCUUCGCUCGUGACGAAGCCUUCGGGUGACGGUAGCGGGAGAAGAAGCACCGGCUAACUACGUGCCAGCAGCCGCGGU